CUCAAAUAUGGCCCUAAACCCCAAAUCAUCUUCCACAAUCUAAUCUAAUCAAGCAUCUCUACCUAUAAAUAUAAAUAAAUGUCCAUUUUCGAAUACAAAUUCAAAUUCACAUUUCAUGAACAAAUCCAUUUAAUAUUCAUUUCAAAAGCUAACCUAAAUGCCGGUUGGUGUGUGGUGUCGACGGUGACUGGGUGGUUGUGUGGUGCCGAUUUUUGUGCCUCGACCGUGAGAGAUCGAUGGUGAGAGACUGGGAGCAACUGUUAGAAAUCCUUUUCUUGUGUUUGGAGGUAUUUUCGAGUUUUUGUUUCCAAAUCAUUUUUUUUUAAAUUGUAUUACUUGGUCAAAGGCCAAUGUGGAAAAGUGGCUUGAGUUCGUUCUGUUCCUGGAAUGGAAUCACAGAGCUUAGCAUUUUUUCAUGCAUAUUGUUAUCUACCAAGCCAGAUGCCAGAUGGUUUGGUUGAACUCAGUAUAGAAAAACUAGUUAGAUUGAGAGGAGAUGGAAAGGGGAG
rnacentral:lncRNA from 1 species